rnacentral:rRNA from 1 species
AUUGAACGCUGGCGGCAGGCCUAACACAUGCAAGUCGAGCGAGCGGCGGACGGGUGAGUAAUGUCUGGGAAACUGCCUGAUGGAGGGGGAUAACUACUGGAAACGGUAGCUAAUACCGCAUACCAUCAGAGGUGCCCAGAUGGGAUUAGCUAGUAGGUGGGGUAACAGCUCACCUGGGCGACGAUCCCUAGCUGGUCUGAGAGGAUGACCAUCCAAUCUGGAACGUAGACAGGUUCAAGACUCCUACGGGAGGCAGCAGUGGGGAAUAUUGCACAAUGGGCGCAAGCCUGAUGCAGCCAUGCAGGGUGUAUGAAGAAGGCCUUCGGGUUGUAAAGUACUUUCAGCGGGGAGGCGUUACCCGCAGAAGAAGCACCGGCUAACUCCGUGCCAGCAGCCGCGGUAAUAC